rnacentral:rRNA from 1 species
UACGUAGGGUGCAAGCGUUGUCCGGAAUUAUUGGGCGUAAAGAGCUCGUAGGCGGUCUGUCACGUCGGCUGUGAAAACCUGGGGCUCAACUCCGGGCCCGCAGCCGAUACGGGCAGACUAGAGUUCGGCAGGGGAGACUGGAAUUCCUGGUGUAGCGGUGAAAUGCGCAGAUAUCAGGAGGAACACCGGUGGCGAAGGCGGGUCUCUGGGCCGAAACUGACGCUGAGGAGCGAAAGCGUGGGGAGCAAACAGG